ACGAACGCUGGCGGCACGCUUAACACAUGCAAGUCGAACGAGAGAAGAGAAGCUUGCUUUUCUGAUCUAGUGGCGGACGGGUGAGUAACACGUGAGCAAUCUGCCUUUCAGAGGGGGAUACCGAUUGGAAACGAUCGUUAAUACCGCAUAACAUAAUUGAACCGCAUGAUUUGAUUAUCAAAGAUUUAUCGCUGAAAGAUGAGCUCGCGUCUGAUUAGCUAGUUGGUAAGGUAACGGCUUACCAAGGCGACGAUCAGUAGCCGGACUGAGAGGUUGAUCGGCCACAUUGGGACUGAGACACGGCCCAGACUCCUACGGGAGGCAGCAGUGGGGAAUAUUGCACAAUGGAGGAAACUCUGAUGCAGCGAUGCCGCGUGAGGGAAGAAGGUUUUAGGAUUGUAAACCUCUGUCUUCAGGGACGAAAAAUGACGGUACCUGAGGAGGAAGCUCCGGCUAACUACGUGCCAGCAGCCGCGGUAAUACGUAGGGAGCGAGCGUUGUCCGGAAUUACUGGGUGUAAAGGGAGCGUAGGCGGGAUCGCAAGUCAGAUGUGAAAACUAUGGGCUUAACCCAUAAACUGCAUUUGAAACUGUGGUUCUUGAGUGAAGUAGAUAAAAGCGGAACUCCUAGUGUAGCGGUGAAAUGCGUAGAUAUUAGGAGGAACAUCAGUGGCGAAGGCGGCUUACUGGGCUUUAACUGACGCUGAGGCUCGAAAGCGUGGGGAGCAAACAGGAUUAGAUACCCUGGUAGUCCACGCCGUAAACGAUGAUUACUAGGUGUGGGGGGACUGACCCCUUCCGUGCCGCAGCAAACGCAAUAAGUAAUCCACCUGGGGAGUACGACCGCAAGGUUGAAACUCAAAGGAAUUGACGGGGGCCCGCACAAGCAGUGGAGUAUGUGGAUUAAUUCGAAGCAACGCGAAGAACCUUACCAGGUCUUGACAUCGUAUGCAUAGCUCAGAGAUGAGUGAAAUCUCUUCGGAGACAUAUAGACAGGUGGUGCAUGGUUGUCGUCAGCUCGUGUCGUGAGAUGUUGGGUUAAGUCCCGCAACGAGCGCAACCCUUACUGUUAGUUGCUACGCAAGAGCACUCUAGCAGGACUGCCGUUGACAAAACGGAGGAAGGUGGGGAUGACGUCAAAUCAUCAUGCCCCUUAUGACCUGGGCCUCACACGUACUACAAUGGCUGUCAACAGAGGGAAGCAAAGCCGCGAGGUGGAGCAAACCCCUAAAAGCAGUCUUAGUUCGGAUUGUAGGCUGCAACCCGCCUACAUGAAGUCGGAAUUGCUAGUAAUCGCAGAUCAGCAUGCUGCGGUGAAUACGUUCCCGGGCCUUGUACACACCGCCCGUCACGCCAUGGGAGUCGGUAACACCCGAAGCCUGUAGUCUAACCGCAAGGAGGACGCAGUCGAAGGUGGGAUUGAUGACUGGGGUG
rnacentral:rRNA from 1 species